rnacentral:tRNA from 1 species
AGGGGUGUAGUUCAAGGGCAGAAUAGCGGUCUCCAAAACCGUAGAUGGGAGUUCGAAUCUCUCCACCCCUG